rnacentral:rRNA from 1 species
CGGGAAACCGGAGCUAAUACCGGAUAAUAUAUUGAACCGCAUGGUUCAAUAGUGAAAGACGGUUUUGCUGUCACUUAUAGAUGGAUCCGCGCCGCAUUAGCUAGUUGGUAAGGUAACGGCUUACCAAGGCAACGAUGCGUAGCCGACCUGAGAGGGUGAUCGGCCACACUGGAACUGAGACACGGUCCAGACUCCUACGGGAGGCAGCAGCG